CAGAGAGACCUAAAUGCAAGCCAAAUUUGCUGGCCCAGAAGUGUCAGGGUAGAAGCAAGUACAUUUGGUGGGUAAUCGUUUAUUACGGGGAUGUUUCAGAAUUACUCUAAUUCCUUGUGGUCUUUUGGGUUGGUGAUUUGCACUCUACUAGCCAGUGUGUUGGAUGACAAGUCUAAAAGACUAAAGAUCACAAGUUUCUGUUUCAGCCAGCAAAAAGAAGAAAGAUAUUCUACGGUGUGAGUCAAGUAGCUUUUUGUGAAGUCAGAGGAGUCUUGUCCUGGGAAGACUGCCAAGACAGAGCAACCUGGUCAGAGAUGGAUGUCUAUACUGUAGCUUUUUUGGACUCCAACAGGUGAAUCACAGCUGCAGGGUCUAUGCCUGAACCUUACUCAGAAGAUUAGUAUUUUCCAGAUUUCAUUGUGGCUAGAAGCCAUGUUCCUCCAUUCUGAAGGAUCCCAGGAUGGAAUAUGAUUGUCUGGAUUUACCUUAUAACAUUGGAGUCUUCAUCUGAACUUUCCCUCAAGCUACUUUUGAUUGUCAACUACUUAUGACUGUAGUUCAAAGCUCUAUUAGCUCGGUCCCUGAUUCUUUCUGGAGUAUACCUGUGGACUGCAUCCCUUGAAUAUCACCUGAAUAGCUGGCAGUGACCUUAGUUAUCCUGUGUACGAGCAGCCUGCUUCCUGAACAUCAAUUCAUGAGAAAGUGAUGAAGUGUUUGAACAAUCAGCUAUAAAAUGUGGUGUAUCUUCUCUCUGGUCAGUUUUGAACUCAUUGUUGAAUAACUGAGUGCACCAAGUCUCAAUUCUCCUUUGCUAAAUUCAGGCUGCUAAUAAGCUUCAAUGAAAAACACUGGAAAAUCAAGAUCUUUAAUGUUCCUACACACCCAGGAUAAAGGAGAAGCUGCUGAUAUAAGAAUAUGGGCUUGGACUGUUUGAAGACGUGUGAUGAGUCAGAAUCUGUACUUCUGCUGUUCUACAAGAACUGCUGCCGAAUGCUAAGUCUUGCCAACUGUGAAAUUGCUAUUUCUGCUUCAUAAUGUUUUCUAUCAAAACAGAAUGUAGAGAAAAGGUAAUAACUGGAUUUUUAGAACAAAUCAGACUGCUUGUCAGGACUUUUUCCUUUGGUCUCCAGCCAAAAGUCUCAAUUUAAAAAACUUCAGACUUUAUAUCAUCUCAACUGGCACAAAUGUUUUUAUUUUUCUCCAAUUCACACGAUAAUUUGAUUGAAUUGGUUGUACUACUCUUUUGACAAAAAGGGGCAUAUUCCUUUAAAAAUAUGCUUGCACAGUUAAGUCUUUUAUUUGGUAGAAGUAAUGGCUACUUCCAACAGUCUUAAAAGUAAAUUUAGGGUUUGAUUUUUUAGACUAUGGGAUUUUCAUAGUAAGGUUUUGGCAAUGGUGGGCUGCAGGGCCUACCAGCUGUCCCAUGUCAGAUCAGAGACUGCUCCAACUGCUCCAAAGGGACUCACUGUUGCCAGAGCUGAGCCAUGAGUGAUGCUGGGUGUGCUCUGGGGGAGCAGAAUUUAAAAAGCAAGAAAGAGACCAUGGCUAACAUGGAAUGUACAGAGUAUAUUUCUGUCAGUUAGACCUGUCUAAAAGCCUUACUGAGCAAAGUACUUGGGCUCUGUUAUCCAGUGUCUGACCAGUGAGUUUAUCAAGCCUGUUUAACUGCCCAAGUACUUUGGCUGAGGUGGGGUAUAGGCCAUCAAUUAGUUUUUGUAGUGUUUCAUGCUUUCUGAUACAUGCAUUUGCCCACUGCUUUGUGAAGACCAUCAAUCCAAUGAAGAACAGAGGGUAUAAGAGUCUGUUUCCUAUUUUAAGAAUUUUGUCCUCAGAAUCUGAAAUGCAACCAGUACUGCACAACAAAGGGACUGCUUUACCCCUCUCUGGUGCAGAUUCCACUCCGUGACAAUAUAUCAUAGUGAAAGUAACCUAUAACCCAGAUUUCCAGAGAUCUGCAUAGUGCAUCUAGUAGCUUUGAGCCUACUGAUGAGCAACGUAUCAUUGCCAGAAGAUUUCUGUGGAGAGGGAUUCUCAUUCCACUUUAAAAAUGAAAAGUGCUAAACAAGCAACUUCGAAAACAACCUAAUGUGAGAGAGAUGGAGAUGCUGAUUCUCAACAUGCUGAAAAGUCACAAAAAGCCUACUCAAAAUGAGAAGCUGACUACCUUCCACCAGAAGAGACUACCUCUAACCUCCUGAAAGGACAUAGACUGCUAAGUGGUAAAUAACCCAACUACCAGAACGUGGUGUGUAGGGGAGCAGGAUACAAAUAGGUGAGCCUGAGCUAGAGUAAUGAGGAUACUAGAGCAGAUCUAACUGGAAACCUUCAUUCUAGAGCAGAAGUUAGGGGUAAGUGUGUUUUUUUCUUGUCCUUUUCUGGCAGAAGUCUUAUAUCUCUGGGGUUGUCAGCCAGGCUGCUCAACCAUCUCACCUCACUUUGCCAUCUUCAGCAUGGAUGCAAGUAUCUGAAUUAGUCACACUAAAUUUCACUUGAAGGCAUUUUGAAGUUCAGUUCAUUUGCUUGUUUCAGGUCUCUGCUUUAAGAUGAGUGGUGCUCUGGUUUUGCUUCUUCCCCUCCACCAAUGGCAGUGAGCAC
ensembl:lncRNA